CAGUCGAACGAGCGAGAGAGAGCUUGCUUUCUCAAGCGAGUGGCGAACGGGUGACUAUCUGCGUGAGGAACCUGCCUCAAAGAGGGGGACAACAGUUGGAAACGACUGCUAAUACCGCAUAAGCCCACAGGUCGGCAUCGACCGGAGGGAAAAGGAGCAAUCCGCUUUGAGAUGGCCUCGCGUCCGAUUAGCUAGUUGGUGAGGUAAUGGCCCACCAAGGCGACGAUCGGUAGCCGGACUGAGAGGUUGAACGGCCACAUUGGGACUGAGACACGGCCCAGACUCCUACGGGAGGCAGCAGUGGGGAAUAUUGCACAAUGGGGGAAACCCUGAUGCAGCGACGCCGCGUGGAGGAAGAAGGUCUUCGGAUUGUAAACUCCUGUUGUUGAGGAAGAUAAUGACGGUACUCAACAAGGAAGUGACGGCUAACUACGUGCCAGCAGCCGCGGUAAAACGUAGGUCACAAGCGUUGUCCGGAAUUACUGGGUGUAAAGGGAGCGCAGGCGGGAAGACAAGUUGGAAGUGAAAUCUAUGGGCUCAACCCAUAAACUGCUUUCAAAACUGUUUUUCUUGAGUAGUGCAGAGGUAGGCGGAAUUCCCGGUGUAGCGGUGGAAUGCGUAGAUAUCGGGAGGAACACCAGUGGCGAAGGCGGCCUACUGGGCACCAACUGACGCUGAGGCUCGAAAGUGUGGGUAGCAAACAGGAUUAGAUACCCUGGUAGUCCACACCGUAAACGAUGAUUACUAGGUGUUGGAGGAUUGACCCCUUCAGU
rnacentral:rRNA from 1 species